AUUGAAAGCUGGCGCCUUCGGCGUCCGCAUUGUAAUCUCAAGAAGUGUUUUCCGCUUCGGACCAUGCCUAAGUCCCUUGGAAAAGGGCAUCAUAGAGGGUGAUAAUCCCGUACAUGGCAUGGAGCGCCCGAAGCUUUGUGAUACGCUUUCUAAGAGUCGAGUUGUUUGGGAAUGCAGCUCAAAAUGGGUGGUAAAUGCCAUCUAAGGCUAAAUAUUGGGGAGAGACCGAUAGCGAACAAGUACAGUGAUGGAAAGAUGAAAAGAACUUUGAAAAGAGAGUUAAACAGUACGUGAAAUUGCCAAAAGGGAAGGGUAGGAGGUCAGAGAUGCGUCGCAGGAUUCAGCCUUGCUUUUGCUUGGUGUUUUUCCUGCGUUGCAGGCCAACGUCGGUUUUGGGCACUGGAGAAGGGUAGGAGGAACGUGGCACCUCUCGGGGUGUGUUAUAGCCUCCUACUGGAUACAGCGACCGAGACCGAGGAACGCAGCGUACUCGUAAGAGCGGGCCUUUUGGCACCUUUACGCUUAGGGCGUUGGCAUAAUGGCCCUCUACCACCCGUCUU
rnacentral:rRNA from 1 species